AGACAGCAGCAGCCGCGGGAAUACGUAGGGUGCAAGCGUUAAUCGGAAUUACUGGGCGUAAAGCGUGCGCAGGCGGUUAUAUAAGACAGAUGUGAAAUCCCCGGGCUCAACCUGGGAACUGCAUUUGUGACUGUAUAGCUAGAGUACGGCAGAGGGGGAUGGAAUUCCGCGUGUAGCAGUGAAAUGCGUAGAUAUGCGGAGGAACACCGAUGGCGAAGGCAAUCCCCUGGGCCUGUACUGACGCUCAUGCACGAAAGCGUGGGGAGCAAACAGGAUUAGAUACCCCGGUAGUCCCUGUCUCUUAUAA
rnacentral:rRNA from 1 species